CCUACGGGAGGCAGCAGUGGGGGAUAUUGCACAAUGGGGGAAACCCUGAUGCAGCGACGCCGCGUGAGUGAAGAAGUACUUCGUUAUGUAAAGCUCUAUCAGCAGGGAAGAAAAUGACGGUACCUGAGUAAGCAGCCCCGGCUACCUACGUGCCAGCAGCCGCGGUAAUACGUAGGGGGCAAGCGUUAUCCGGAUUUACUGGGUGUAACGGGAGCGUAGACGGCAGUGCAAGUCUGGAGUGAAAGGCGGGGGCUCAACCCCCGGACUGCUCUGGAAACUGUACGGCUGGAGUGCAGGAGAGGCAAGUGGAAUUCCUAGUGUAGCGGUGAAAUGCGUAGAUAUUAGGAGGAACACCAGUGGCGAAGGCGGCUUACUGGACUGUAACUGACGUUGAGGCUCGAAAGCGUGGGGAGCAAACAGGAGUAGAUACCCCAGUAGUC
rnacentral:rRNA from 1 species